GUUGGCCGGUGCUUCUUCUGUACCUACCGUCACUUGCGCUUCGUCGGUACUGAAAGAGGUUUACAACCCGAAGGCCGUCAUCCCUCACGCGGCGUUGCUAGAUCAGGCUUCCGCCCAUUGUCCAAUAUUCCCCACUGCUGCCUCCCGUAGGAAGCCGAAUUCUGCAGAUAUCCAUCACACUGGCGGCCGCUCGAGCAUGCAUCUAGAGGGCCCAAUUCGCCCUAUAGUGAGUCGUAUUACAAUUCACUGGCCGUCGUUUUUACAACGUC
rnacentral:rRNA from 1 species